rnacentral:rRNA from 1 species
UACGAAGGGGGCUAGCGUUGCUCGGAUUGACUGGGCGUAAAGGGCGCGUAGGCGGUUUGUACAGUCAGACGUGAAAUUCCUGGGCUCAACCUGGGGGCUGCGUUUGAUACGUGCGAGCUUGAGUUCGGAAGAGGGUCGUGGAAUUCCCAGUGUAGAGGUGAAAUGCGUAGAUAUCGGGAGGAACACCAGUGGCGAAGGCGGCAUCCUGGCCCUGUCCUGACGCUCAGGGGCGAAAGCGUGGGGAGCAAACCGG